CACACCGCCCGUCACGCCACGAAAGCUUGCUGUACCAGAAAAUGGUGGGCCAACCCGCAAGGGGGCAGCCAGCUAUGGUAUGGCCGGUGAUUGGGGCG
rnacentral:rRNA from 1 species